AAAUGCAGGACAGAGCUAAUGAAGAAUUGAAAUAUUUAAAAGAAAUUUCUGAGACACAAGAUAAAAAUAUGCAACUACAAAAUAAAGUAGAAGACCUUGAGAGAAAAUGUAGGCAACAACAAGAACAAAUCUACGACUUGAAAGAACAAGUAACACACCUUCAGUCAGAGCUGACGAUGAAAGGCUCACAAUAUGAAG
rnacentral:sRNA from 1 species